GUGCGAGUGUGCCGUCUGGUAAGGUGGGUAAUUUAGUUUGUUUGAGGAAUGUGUGAAUGCGGUCCGUUAGGUUGGAGGUGUUUUGUCUGUGCUGUGGGAAAUGGUUGUAUAGAUCGGAGACAAAUUGUUAUGGGCAAAUGCAAAUAUUACAAGUUUUAGAAUUAAAUGUUGUAUUUCUUAAACUGUGUACUUUGUCUUUAAGAGAUAUUGCAAACUGACAAGGUGUUAGAAAUGGAAC